AUUCUCUCAGCUCUGCUCAGUUACACUCUUCCUACAUAGUGUACCUGUCUUUACAUGGGAGAGAAAGCAGUAUGAGCUUACAAUGCACGACAGGCUAGCCCUGUUCUGUGGCCACCUUGUUCCUGUUUGAAGCUCUACAAGG